rnacentral:rRNA from 1 species
ACUCAAAUGAAUUGACGGGGGCCCGCACAAGCGGUGGAUCAUGUGGUUUAAUUCGAAGCAACGCGAAAAACCUUACCUAGGUUUGACAUCAUACUGACAGACUGCGAAAUCAGUUUUCUGUAGCAAUACAGCGGUAUGACCGGUGCUGCAUGGCUGUCGUCAGCUCGUGUGGUGACAUGUUGGGUUAAGUCCCGCAACGAGCGCAACCCCUGUCCUUAGUUGCCUACAUUAAGUUGGGAACUCUAAGGAGACUGCCGUGGUAACACGGAGGAAGGUGGGGAUGACGUCAAGUCCUCAUGGCCCUUAUGCCUAGGGCGACACACGUGAUACAAUGGCCGGUACAGAGGGCAGCGAAAGCGCGAGCUGGAGCAAAUCCCAAAAAGCCGGUCUCAGUUCGGAUUGGAGUCUGCAACUCGACUCCAUGAAGCUGGAAUCGCUAGUAAUCGCGGAUCAGCACGCCGCGGUGAAUACGUUCCCGGGCCUUGUACACACCGCCCGU